GGUGAGGCCCGGCGCCCGGGAGGCACACAGAGGGGUAUUUGUUCGCAGUGGGCGGCGAGCGAGGAGAUGCUAAUCACUGCGGAUCGCUGGGCUCCAGCUGGAGGUCAGGAGGGCUCCAGUGACCUCCGGCCCACAGACCAGAGAUGCUGCCCACCAGAGUAUGUCCUUCAUUCACUUGGCAGACCUGAUGACUGGCUUGGGGCCCAGAGGCUGGGUGCUGAGGAAAAACCCACCCUUCCCCCGAGCUCCAGACUGGAUGAACGGUGGGCGUCUUAAACUAAUGUGUCCAAAAGGUGAGCUCCUGAACCCUGCCAAAACUGCAGCUCCUCCAGUCUUCCCGAAAUGGGACAAGUCACAACGGCCUCCUUCCAGAUGAUCAGGCUCCCAGCUCUCGCCCAGCAUCCAGUCUGUCAGAAAACACUGUCAGCUCUGCCUCGGAGUUUCAGCCCCUUACCCCACCUCCAUUGCUUCAACCUGAUCUAAGCCAACAUCAUUGCUCGUUGGAUUCCUACAAUGAUAUCUGCUCAUCCCCUUCAUUCUAUUCCUGACGUAAUAGCCAGAGGGAUUUUAUUAAGAAAUAACUUAGGGGGACUCCCUGGCUGUCCAGGGGUUAGGACUCUGCACUUCCACUGCAGGUGGCACAGGUUCAAUCCCUGGUCAGGAACUAAGACCCCUCAUGCCGCGUGGUGUGUCAAAAAAAAAAAAACCACCAUCAAAGUAGAUCAUUUUGUCCGUCUGCUCCCCUGUCAAUCUGAGGAAAGCCACAGCCCUUCGUGAUAGCUCUAUUCUAUCUACACCUCCCCCACCUCUCCCACAUCUGGCUGCAGCCACACUAGCUUCCUUGUUCCUUGCAUAUACUAUGCACACGCCUGCCUCAGGGCCUUUGCACUUGCAGUCUUCCUCUUCCUGGAGUGAUCCUCCCCCAGUAUUUCUAUGGUUUGUUCUCACCUUCUUCAGGCCUUCACUCACAUAUUACCUUCUCUGAGAAGCUUUCAUUAACCAUCAUAUUAAAAAUUACAGAGCACACCUAGUACCCAGAUCUUGGUUUCUAGUACCAUUCUACAAUAAAAGGAUCCAGGGUUUCUUGGAGAGAUGGCUGAUUCUAGGACUGGGGCAGGAAGUACAUAAGAUAAGCCUGGAGCAUCUUCUUGUGCCAGAGAGUAAGGAAGUUCUAAAAAAAAAAAAAAAAAUUGAUGGGGGCAUGUCAAUGGGCCACAGGAGCUAGUGAAAGAGCUGGAACAAUUUGAGCAACAAAAUAAAGUAUUACUGGAUUAUAACCCAAAUGUAGAAUAAAUAUCUGUGAGUCCAUUAUAAAUGUGUUGAGUAAAUUAAUAAAUGGGUGAGAAGAGACCAAUCGCUCAUGCGGAAGAAUUCCAAAUAAUUUAUGUUGAUACUUCACCCUAAAUGGAGGCAGUGGAGCAUAACUUUCACUCCAGUGUGGGCUGCACGCACUUCCUUCCCAAGCGACUUCUUUCCCAAGAUGUCAGUAUGGAAAGAGGGGAGGGGAGAGUAGAGAAACCUGCCAAAUACUGCUUCAGCCGGGUGAACAGGGUCAACAUCAAGAGCCAUAAAUCACGUUGAUAACAUGUACCCUUGAUAUGACAUGUGAUGAAAAUAGCACUUCACCUCUGUGAUCUUGUUCCUGGAAACUCAUAGGCCCGGUCUGAUCAUGAGAAAAUAUUAGGCAAAUUCCAACACAAUAUACCUGACCAGGACUUCCUAGUUUUGUUGAGGUCAUCAAAAACAAAGAAAAGCUGGGCUUCCCUGGUGGCGCAGUGGUUGAGAGUCCGCCUGCCGAUGCAGGGGACACGGGUUCGUGCCCCGGUCCGGGAGGAUCCCACGUGCCGCGGAGCGG